rnacentral:rRNA from 1 species
GAUGAACGCUAGCUACAGGCCUAACACAUGCAAGUCGAGGGACCGGCGCACGGGGGUGUAACACGUAUCCAACCUGCCCUUUACUCGGGGAUAGCAUUUCGAAAGAAAGAUUAAUACCCGAUAUAAAGGAGGGGGAUGCGUUCCAUUAGGUUGUUGGUGAGGUACAGGCUCACUAAGCCUUCGAUGGAUAGGGGUUCUGAGAGGAAGGUACCCCACAUUGGAACUGAGGCACGGUCCAAACUCCUACGGGAGGCAGCAGUGAGGAAUAUUGGUCAAUGGGCGCUAGCCUGAACCAGCCAAGUGGCGUGAAGGAUGAAGGCUUAUUGGUCGUAAACUUCUUGUAUAUAAGAAUAUGUAUUAUAUGAAUAAGGAUCGGCUAACUCCGUGCCAGCAGCCGCGGUAAUAC